UCUGCCCGCUGGCGGCGUGCCUAAUACAUGCAAGUCGAGCGAACAGACGAGGAGCUUGCUCCUCUGACGUUAGCGGCGGACGGGUGAGUAACACGUGGAUAACCUACCUAUAAGACUGGGAUAAAUUCGGGAAACCGGAGCUAAUACCGGAUAAUAUAUUGAACCGCAUGGUUCAAUAGUGAAAGACGGUUUUGCUGUCACUUAUAGAUGGAUCCGCGCCGCAUUAGCUAGUUGGUAAGGUAACGGCUUACCAAGGCAACGAUGCGUAGCCGACCUGAGAGGGUGAUCGGCCACACUGGAACUGAGACACGGUCCAGACUCCUACGGGAGGCAGCAGUAGGGAAUCUUCCGCAAUGGGCGAAAGCCUGACGGAGCAACGCCGCGUGAGUGAUGAAGGUCUUCGGAUCGUAAAACUCUGUUAUUAGGGAAGAACAAAUGUGUAAGUAACUAUGCACGUCUUGACGGUACCUAAUCAGAAAGCCACGGCUAACUACGUG
rnacentral:rRNA from 1 species